rnacentral:rRNA from 1 species
CAGCCGCCGCGGGUAAAACGAAGGGGGCUAGCGUUGCUCGGAAUGACUGGGCGUAAAGGGCGCGUAGGCGGAUGGCACAGUCAGAUGUGAAAUUCCCGGGCUUAACCUGGGGGCUGCAUUUGAUACGUGUUGUCUAGAGUGAGGAAGAGGGUCGUGGAAUUCCCAGUGUAGAGGUGAAAUUCGUAGAUAUUGGGAAGAACACCGGUGGCGAAGGCGGCGACCUGGUCCUUUACUGACGCUGAGGCGCGAAAGCGUGAGGAGCAAACAGGAUUAGAUACCCGCGUAGUCCCUGUCUCUUAUA